rnacentral:rRNA from 1 species
AGUCGAUAAGAGGCGUUUAAUCCAAGAUGUCCGAAUGGGGAAACCCAGUAGGUGAAGAACCUACUAUCACCCAGUGAAUACAUAGCUGUGUGAGGCAAACCGGGAGAACUGAAACAUCUAAGUACCCCGAGGAAAAGAAAUCAACCGAGAUUUCGUUAGUAGCGGCGAGCGAACGCGAAAGAGCCAGUUAGUGAUAGCAGUAAAGUUAGGGGAAUGUUCUGGGAAGGACAAUCGUAGAGGGUGAUAAUCCCGUACCUUAAAACUCCAUUGUGGUACUAGGCUAACAACAAGUAGGGCGGGACACGUGAUAUCCUGUUUGAAGAUGGGGGGACCAUCCUCCAAGGCUAAAUACUCCUGAUUGACCGAUAGUGAACCAGUACUGUGAAGGAAAGGUGAAAAGAACCCCGGCGAGGGGAGUGAAAUAGAACCUGAAACCUUGUGCGUACAAGCAGUGGGAGCAAGAGUAAUCUUGUGACUGCGUACCUUUUGUAUAAUGGGUCAGCGACUUAUAUUUUGUAGCAAGGUUAACUGAAUAAGGGAGCCGUAGGGAAACCGAGUCUUAACUGGGCGUGUAGUUGCAAGGUAUAGACCCGAAACCCGGUGAUCUAGCCAUGGGCAGGUUGAAGGUUGGGUAACACUAACUGGAGGACCGAACCGACUAAUGUUGAAAAAUUAGCGGAUGACUUGUGGCUGGGGGUGAAAGGCCAAUCAAACCGGGAGAUAGCUGGUUCUCCCCGAAAUCUAUUUAGGUAGAGCCUUGAGCGGACACCUUCGGGGGUAGAGCACUGUUUCGGCUAGGGGUCCAUCCCGGAUUACCAACCCGAUGCAAACUGCGAAUACCGAAGAGUGAUACUCAGGAGACACACGGUGGGUGCUAACGUCCAUCGUGGAGAGGGAAACA